rnacentral:rRNA from 1 species
UACGUAGGGGGCUAGCGUUGUUCGGAUUUACUGGGCGUAAAGCGCGUGUAGGCGGGUCGUUAAGUUGGGGGUGAAAUCCCGAGGCUCAACCUCGGAACUGCCUUCAAAACUGGCGACCUGGAGCAAAGAAGAGGCGAGUGGAAUUGCGAGUGUAGAGGUGAAAUUCGUAGAUAUUCGCAGGAACACCAGUGGCGAAGGCGACUCGCUGGUCUUUUGCUGACGCUGAGACGCGAAAGCGUGGGGAGCAAACAGG